CGCUCAUUCUCAGCCUGAACUUGGUUGCCCCCCCCCCACCCCCCCACGUAGCUUCCUUCUUGCUGUUCUGGGCCUCCGUCCUAAGGGAGAGUCUCCUGGCUAAAGUCCUUGUGGCUACUGCCUGAAGAUGACCUCUUGGGACGAUCUCCGCCCCCAGGAGCACCCUCAAGGCAUGAGGAGGCCCCCAGGAACUUUGGUGAGGAGGGCCUGGUGAGGCAUUUACCCCUGUGGGUGCUUAUUCCUGGAAGCUGGGCUCAAACCUGGCUGUCCUGCUCCUGCUGGAGGGUCACGGGCAAGUGGCCAGGCCUUCAGGCUGGGGGCGCUAACCGGUCACGCCUCCCGACAGGUGCCAAGGCCCUUUGUAAAUUACACUUGCUUCUUAUCCCCCAGGUGACCAACACAUGACUGCAGCAUCUCUGGUUAAUAUUUUACGAGUAGAAGCCCCUUGCUCCAGAAGUCGUUUCUGGAGCCCUUUCCGUUGCCCUUUCCAACAGUGUGGGCAAACUUUCUCGCAAGGACUUUGCAGAGAGUCCGUGUUUGAGACUUUAGGCCAAGCUGCAAAAUGGGAGAUACUCCCGGGGCUUCUCCAGAACUGAACUCCCCGGACGUCCUGGAUCAGCUCCGGCGGCAGUUUCCCAGGUGACGGCCGCGCUCAGGGGCUGGAGGUCCCGCUGUGGCCCCCGGAGGGAGAGAGCGUCCCGUCCGCGCUCUCGGUGGCCCCGGAGCCCCUCGCCCCAAAGACAGAACGAGUAAUGGCAGGCGGGGAGCCGCCUUGGAGCCCGAAGCAAACGGAAAGCC
rnacentral:lncRNA from 1 species